UACGAAGGGGGCUAGCGUUGCUCGGAAUCACUGGGCGUAAAGGGUGCGUAGGCGGGUAUUUAAGUCAGGGGUGAAAUCCUGGAGCUCAACUCCAGAACUGCCUUUGAUACUGAGGAUCUUGAGUCCGGGAGAGGUGAGUGGAACUGCGAGUGUAGAGGUGAAAUUCGUAGAUAUUCGCAAGAACGCCAGUGGCGAAGGCGGCUCACUGGCCCGAUACUGACGCUGAGGCACGAAAGCGUGGGGAGCAAACAGG
rnacentral:rRNA from 1 species